AGUUCGAGCGAUCCAUAAGAGUAGCUGGGUAUAUCCUAAUUCCGAAAAAUUUGGGAGAAAAAAAUUAUAUAUUUUUUUUUUCUUUUGAGUCUUUAUUUAAUAUAUAAAUUUUAUAUAAAUUUAAAAUUUUGUUAAUCGUCUAAGGCGGUUAAGCAAUUUCUUAAAAUGAAUUUGGAUAUAAGCGGAUAAGUAAUAUAUCUUAUCCUUAUAUGUAUUUAAUCACUAUCUUUUUAUUUAAAGUAAAAUUUAAUUUUAAAGCAAGUAAAAUUUUAACUAUAUCGAUGAUAGGGGUAAUAAAGAAAAUUCACAUUUUCUAGUCUUCUGGGGACUCGUUAAA
rnacentral:rRNA from 1 species